ensembl:lncRNA
AUGAAGGAAGAAUGUUAGAUAUGGGUGUGAGGGUCUGGAUUGGAUUAAACCAUCUCAGUCAACAAGGUGGGAUGGCAGUGGUCUGAUGGAUCUCCUUUGGCUCUUGUCAGUUACAACGCAGAUCUGACCUCCACGCCGGUGAAGGAGAACCAGCAGUGUGGGGUGUUUAACUCCACGCAGGGUUCCUGACAGAGUCUGUCCUGUGAGUCAGCCUUGCCUUACAUCUGCAAGAAAACCACCAAACACAACCGGAAUGCCGAGGCGCUUGUUGACUGGCAGUAUAAGGAGACGAUUUGUCCUGACGGUUGCUUGGACCACGAUGGGUUUUGUUACCGGUUCCUGGAGGAGAAGUGGAGCUGCCAUGGCGACAAACGAAUCUAAGGUUUGA